rnacentral:rRNA from 1 species
GAUGAACGCUGGCGGCGUGCCUAAUACAUGCAAGUCGAGCGAACGGACGAGAAGCUUGCUUCUCUGAUGUUAGCGGCGGACGGGUGAGUAACACGUGGAUAACCUACCUAUAAGACUGGGAUAACUUCGGGAAACCGGAGCUAAUACCGGAUAAUAUUUUGAACCGCAUGGUUCAAAAGUGAAAGACGGUCUUGCUGUCACUUAUAGAUGGAUCCGCGCUGCAUUAGCUAGUUGGUAAGGUAACGGCUUACCAAGGCAACGAUGCAUAGCCGACCUGAGAGGGUGAUCGGCCACCCUGGAACGGAGACACGGUCCAGACUCCUACGGGAGGCAGCAGUAGGGAAUCUGCCGCAAUGGGCGAAAGCCUGACGGAGCAACGCCGCGUGAGUGAUGAAGGUCUUCGGAUCGUAAAACUCUGUUAUUAGGGAAGAACAGAUGUGUAAGUAACUGUGCACAUCUUGACGGUACCUAAUCAGAAAGCCACGGCUAACUACGUG